GUUUUUGUAAUUAUGUGUGUGUAUAUUUACUCUGUCUAUAGUUGUGUGUUUGAUAAAUUAGUUAUUCCAUAUUGCCUCACAAAAACAAGUCUCUCCGUGCCCUCUGCAUGUGUGUGGGUAUGUUUCUCUGUUUUCCUUUCUGUUAGGGUCACAUUUCUUUCUCGUCUUCCUCUGUGUUUCUGUUUGUGCAGCGGACACUUUUGCCUGUGUGUACUUAGUGGUCACCGAACUCAGUACUGACCUGCAACUUGAAUAUCAUAAGGCACUAUUUGCCGCAGUGGAAUAUGGAAGUGUAAAGCUGACCACUGCUCUGCUGUUUAUGUGCAGUUGUGUUGUGUUCUUCUGUUCUGCCAGCAGUCUGUGCGUUUAUGUGGUGUUGAGGUCAGGGGUGUGGAGGAACCAGCAGGGGGGCAGUGAUCAACAGUCUGGGGCUCCCCUGCAGAGGGGCUCUGGGAUUAGGGCUAAACCCUGUCCUGCCAGAUGGGCACAACACAUCCCCACAUCACAUACAAGCACCAGCACCUUUAGGACUGCUUUUGCCCUGCCCCCUUUCUCUGUGGAAACUGACUUAAACCCGAGGACCUCACAGAAACGCGGCAGAGGAGACGACUGAGAUGAGGCACGCUUCAAAGUGUCAGGUAGUGGACAGUAUGGCCAGUCAGCAGGUUUCAAGGGCAUCAGAAAUGAAACUUACAGGUUGUUUUGAUGUGCUGUAUUUUAGAGCCACAGGCUACACUGAAAUGAUAAAGUGUGUCUGUGUGUGUGGUAAGGUCUGUAAGUGUGUAGAUUGGUGGCUCAGGCAUCAGCAGUGGGUUGAUUGCUUCCUGCUUGACUGUUAUCAGGCACAACUGGCACUAAAUAGCAUUUAUAAUAUUGAAUGCAUUCCCAUAAAUCUAUAAAAUUAUUAGCUUUUUAUGCAUUGGCUCAUCGACUUUAUGAAAAAUCUUGCUGUUUUCUGUUUCGUUACAAUUCCUUCUUAAACUCGUAGCGACCUAUGAGUCCAUCAAUCGCAAGUGGAUAACUUGACAUUUGCACGAACCUCCGGUGCUUUGUGAUAACAGCCCACCUGUAACUAUUAUCCACUGGUUCCCCAGCAUGACUUAGGAAAUCAUCUCUGCAUUACUAGAAAGCAGAUUACAUGAGACAAGUGUACAAACAAAUAAAAGAUUACAGGCUGUGAACAUGUUUCAGUCUAAUUCCCUUUCAACAAGCUGUGCUCAGCACAAUGCUUUUCUCUCCCCAAGCUAAAUUUGGAUUUCCCUGUUGAUGUGAAGGCCUGCUGGCCAGCCAUGUCUUCCACCAAGAGCACAACCUCUGUAAUGACAAUGUUCCACAAGACUGGCCUGUCUCCUCUGCUGGUAUUAGUUAGGCUUUGGAGUUCAAGUGACUACAGGGUUUAAACAUGGAUUUUUUUUAAAAAAAAAGAGGGGAAGAAAGACUCGCUGUUGUUCUUGAAAAGCUGUGUUUAUCCAGGAUUAGAGACACCAACAUGUUAAUAAUUGUUUCUCACAGAACUGCAAAGAAGCACUUUCCUGUAAUCCCCUAAUCAGGCAUUACACCUCUGAGCGAAGCCACAACGCAGGCGCGUGGUGUCUGUGACGCAGCACGCCUACGCUGUGUCGUACACCCACAUCUUCCCCAAACCACACCCACUUUGUACAAAAGCACCUGCUCUAGUUUUCCUUUUGUAAUCUACACUUCCUGCAUUCACCUCAUCUGCUCAACGCUGUAGAUCAGUUGGGACGAUAAUAAAUGUUUUCACUUUUAUAGUUUUUUUUCUUUGUUAUGAAGCAUCUGCUGUGGAUGUAUCAGAAAGUUCUGCACGUGUCUUUCAUUCAUUUUUAACUAUAACAGUCUGGUGUUGUUUGAACAUAACAUUUAUUAAAGCACAAUACUUCUGCUCCACUAGGUUUCAGAAAUAUAUAUUCUGACUUCUACUUUGCUACAUUUACAGCCAGAAUUGCUGCUCACUGGUAUAAGUUUAGCAAUUUAGCUAUUUUAAUGAAAAUGAUAAUUACACAUAUACAUCAUCCUAUCUAUAAUAAUUGGAUCAUAUAAUGAUAUAUGAUAUGCCAAUGCAAAAAUCAGUUACUUUUGGUAUUUAUAGUUAAAUUGUGUGCUUGAGUAAGGAUCACAGUAAUUAUUUAUGUUUAU
ensembl:lncRNA